AACUUUGCGCAGUGGCGAUAUCGUAACCAAUGAGGUGCGAUUAUUGCUAAUUAAAAAAAAGAUCAUAUUCAAUAGUGUAUCAUGCUUCCUACAAGGAAUCUAGAACAGUUUUAUUCUGAUAAUGGUUUUAUAUUAUUAUA